GAUGAACGCUAGCGGCAGGCCUAAUACAUGCAAGUCGAACGAGAUUAAGAGGCUUGCUUCUUAUGAAAGUGGCGCACGGGUGCGUAACGCGUAUGCAACCUACCUUAAUCAGGGGGAUAGCCCGAAGAAAUUCGGAUUAAGACCGCAUAAAAACACAGGAUAGCAUUAUCCAAUGUUCAAAUAUUUAUAGGAUUAAGAUGGGCAUGCGUGUCAUUAGCUAGUUGGCGGGGUAACGGCCCACCAAGGCGACGCUGACUAGGGGAUCUGAGAGGAUGACCCCUCACAGUGGUACCGAGAAACGGACGAGACGCCUACGGGAGGGAGUCGUAAGGAAUAUUGGUCAAGGGAAGGAACUAUGAACCAGCCAUGCCGCGUGCAGGAAGACCGCCCUCUGGGUCGUAAACUGCUUUUAUUCGGGAAUAAACCUUUCUACGUGUAGGAAGCUGAAUGUACCGAAUGAAUAAGGAUCGGCUAACUACGUG
rnacentral:rRNA from 1 species